CGGGCUCGGGGUGGCCGAUUUGGGGUGUCAUGGAAGGAAGCGCCGAGCUGGGAGUCACGGCAGGUCCUGGUGAUGAGAAGGGAGCAUUGCCUCAGUGGGAUCUUCCCUCAAACACAUAACCUCACUCUGAUCAUGAGAAAACAGCAUACAGACCUCAACUGAGGGACAUUCAACAAAAUACCUGACCAGCAGUACUCUUCAAAAGUGCCAAGGUUAUGCAAAACAAGGAAAGCCAGAUGCUAUGAACUGCAGAGAGCUGCACCCCAAAGUGGACUAUCUGCCACCUAUCCCCAAGGAAUGAGGUGGGAACGAGGUUGCCCUGAGGUGGCAACACCUACAGACACAAAAAUGCUUUGGCCACUUGGGAGAAUCCAGUACGAGAGACCGCAUGUCAUUCCUGAUGGUGAUUUUCUGUGAAGACGCACAGUACAGAUAACGAAAUGCUACACAUGCCCGCAUUGCUAACUCGCCCGUAUGUGCACACGUGGGCGCACACAGCCUU